UCAUCAUAUAUCUUUUUUGAAUUUCACCACGUAGAAACGGCGUCCUCCCUUUUCCCUGCCCCCAUUACCACAUUUGAUGUUUUAAAAGGUUUUGAAAUUGUUUUCCAAACGUGAAGCACUAACAGGAUAUAAAAACCAGCUUGGUUGGUACUUACUUAGGAGGAUAACUGCUAUCCCAAUAACGGCAAAUAAACAAGUAACAUGUCAUACCUUCUGUUCAUAAUUGUGAAGCCCACAGUGAUUUUACCACCUGUGACAUCAGUCCGUGAUUGUUUGUGAUGAUUUAUGGAGAUACGAGAUGUGUUUUUAAAUAUAAAAGCUCAUUCAGUAAGUAUUUAUGAAUUAAGGAAUUCUCCACAACUCACAACGCCUUCCUGUGUCUCAGUGUUCUUCAUCCUAACACCGUGCUAAAAGCACCUCCACAAAGACUCGUGUAGAAGAGAAUGCUAAUUCUGAAUGACCUGAUGUUAAGAAACAGGAAACGCUGCUUCUUCUGCAAGUUGCUAAAAGACAUAAAGGUGCAUAGGACAGUGCAUUGCUGGAGACAGUUUGCAAGGAGAUGCAAUUAAAUGUGUGUUAUGAAAAUGACAAUGUGCCAGUCAUCCAAGCUGUCAGCACCAGCCAAAAUCUGUUCUGAGGCAGAGCAAUUUACACUUGGAUGAACACCUCCCAAGAAGUAAUCACAUAAAUACCUUCACAUUGAGAUGCAACUCAUUGCUGGUUAGGUAACUCCUACAAUGAGCAUGCGAUCAGUCCCAAAGAUCUGAAAUGGCUUCAGUGCAAAAUGCUCUGUUAAGCUGAUGAAGAAGCUGUUGUAGUGCUAACUAUGCAGCGUGCCUGUGAAGCACUUGCUGUGUUACAAGAUAUUAGUUCUGGAGUAUAAAACUGCAUUUUGGAAAAUAUUCUCUAAAAAUGAUCCAUAUGACACUAGUUUGGCAAAGUAAGAACCUGAAAAAG
ensembl:lncRNA